CAACAAGGGAAGCAUCCACAAGUUCGAUCUCAUGCUCAACCACAAGUUGAAGAAAGUCCUCUUCCCAAGAAUCCUCAAGCUAAUGCUUCUCAAGUUGAGAAAUCAAGUGAGAAAAAAGUGAAGAGUAGACGUUGCUACUUAUGUCGUGAGAAAGGUCACCUCGCCUCUUCAUGCACUAGUGGUAACUUAUCCAACCUAAUUAUUAUUGAUGAUAUCUAUUCUCUUGGGAAGGAUAAUGUUGGCCAUGUGUUUGCCAAAUUUGUUGGUGCUCAAAGUGGUGUCAAGAAAAGAACCAUUUGGGUAGCCAAGCCUAUUGUGACUAACCUCUUAGGACCCAACUUGGUUGGGGACCAACUAGCUCAAACUUGA
rnacentral:rRNA from 1 species